UACGUAGGGGGCAAGCGUUAUCCGGAUUUACUGGGUGUAAAGGGAGCGUAGGCGGUAAUGCAAGUCAGAAGUGAAAGCCCGGGGCUCAACUCCGGGACUGCUUUUGAAACUGUGUUGCUAGAUUGCAGGAGAGGUAAGUGGAAUUCCUAGUGUAGCGGUGAAAUGCGUAGAUAUUAGGAGGAACACCAGUGGCGAAGGCGGCUUACUGGACUGUAAAUGACGCUGAGGCUCGAAAGCGUGGGGAGCAAACAGG
rnacentral:rRNA from 1 species